rnacentral:rRNA from 1 species
GGGCCCGCACAAGCGGUGGAACAUGUGGUUUAAUUCGACGCAACGCGAAGAACCUUACCUGGGUUUGACAUCCCCGGCCGACACCAGAGAUGGUGUUUUUCUCUUCGGAGACCGGGUGACAGGUGCUGCAUGGCUGUCGUCAGCUCGUGUCGUGAGAUGUUGGUUAAGUCCCGCAACGAGCGCAACCCUUGCCCUCAGUUGCCAGCAGUUCGGCUGGGCACUCUGGGGGGACUGCCGGUGACAAGCCGGAGGAAGGUGGGGAUGACGUCAAGUCCUCAUGGCCUUUAUAUCCAGGGCUACACACGUGUUACAAUGGGGGUCACAAAGGGCAGCGAAACGGUGACGUG